rnacentral:rRNA from 1 species
GUUGACCUCGGAUCAGGUAGGAAUACCCGCUGAACUUAAGCAUAUCAAUAGGCAGGGAGGGAA